AACGAACGCUGGCGGCAUGCCUAACACAUGCAAGUCGAACGAGACCUUCGGGUCUAGUGGCGCACGGGUGCGUAACGCGUGGGAACCUGCCCUUAGGUUCGGAAUAACUCCCCGAAAGGGGUGCUAAUACCGGAUAAUGUCUUCGGACCAAAGAUUUAUCGCCUUUGGAUGGGCCCGCGUUGGAUUAGCUAGUUGGUAGGGUAAAAGCCUACCAAGGCGACGAUCCAUAGCUGGUCUGAGAGGAUGAUCAGCCACACUGGGACUGAGACACGGCCCAGACUCCUCCGGGGGGCGCAAGGGGGGAAUAUUGGAAAGUGGGCGAAAGCUUGACCGCGCAUUGCCCCGGGAGGAAUAAGGGCCUUAGGGUUUUAAAGCUUUUUUCCCCGGGAUGAUAAUGACGGUCCCGGGAGAAUAGGCCCCGGCUAACCCCGU
rnacentral:rRNA from 1 species